CUGUUUUCUCUAAUGAACUCUGAUUGAUCUAUGCUCCUCUGCAUUGACUAUUGGCCUCACCUAAUCGCUUCAACUGGCAAAAUUAGGUAUUGAAAUGAAAGCGACUUGGAACAAAUAACAUAAACAAAUAACAUGGGUCAAACAGCAAAAACAAUCAAACAAACAAACAUAAACGUGACGUUGUAACAAAUAACAUGGGUCAAGAUAUAAAUCAACUGACCAACAUUGUUGAAUUGUCGAUAUUUUUAUUGACUUCAAUUGACUAACAACUUUCCUUCUUUUCUUGAAGGAUGGCUUUGGCGGCGUUUCUUGAAGGAUGGCUUGGACCUCUCGUUGAUUCGCGUCCUCGAUAUUGGUUCGUGGCUUUCGAUCUUCCUGAUCUCGCCGUCUUCCGAAGAGAAGACGUUUGUCGAAGUUAUCGCAAUCGACGCUCACCAUUGUCCUGGUAAGUCACGGUUAAGCUAACAGUAACGAUAACGGCAUUGAUAAUUGUUUGGACGGGAUAUUAUCAUUUUCCCACCGACGGUAUUCUGACACAUCAUGUCAGUACUAUGGUUUAGUAAAACUAUUAAUUUAUCACCAAAUAUUAAAACUGUUAGCAUUUUCUCACCAUUCCGUUAAAACUCAGUUAAUAUGUAAUGAAAAAUUUUUAAAAGGUCAAUUUUACCCCUGGAGCAUAAAAGACCAUGUAAUUAACCUUUUAUGAAUUUUGUAAUUAAAUCAUCAUUUAUUGUUCUUCCUUCUUAAAGGACAAAAAUUACCCUUUAUGAAUUUUGUAAAAUUGACCGUGUGGUGUUAGGUAAUUCAUAAAUUGAUUUAAUUUAUUUAAUUUUUAAAGGGCAAAUUUAUUUAUUUAAUUUUUUGUGUAAAAUUAUUAUCAUCAUAUCAAAGAUUAAAUUGCUUCUUUUGCACUUUUUUUUUCAAAUUUAUUUAUUUAAUUUUUUGUGUAAAAUUAUUAUCAUCAUAUCAAAGAUUAAAUUAAAUUGCUUCUUUUGCACUUUUUUUUUUUUUGCCCUUUCAUAAAUUGAGUUUUAGUAGUAUAAUAAAUUGUCUUUAGCUCGUCAAUUUAAUAAAUAAAUUUGCCCUUUAAAAAUUAAAUCAAUUUAUGAAGUACCUAGCACCACACGGUCAAUUUUACAAAAUUUAUAAAGGGUAAUUUUUGUCCUUUAAGAAGGAAGAACAACAAAUGAUGAUUUAAUUACAAAAUUCAUAAAAGGUUAAUUACAUAGUCUUUUACGCUCCAGGGGUAAAAUUGACAUUUUAUGAAUUUUCUGUUACAUAUUAAUUGAGUUUUAACGGAAUGGUGGGAAAAUGCUAACAGUUUAAACGUUUGGUGGUAAAUUGAUAGUUUUACCAAACCAUGGUACUGACAUGAUGUGUCAGAAUACCUUUAGUGGGAAAAUGAUAAUAUCCCUUGUUUGGACACUAAUAGUUUAUUUUAUUACUUGUUUUAAUUCAUUUCUUCUUAGCAUUAGUUUUUUUUAUUUCAAUUAUAAAUUAAUGUUAAAUUAUAGUUAAGACUGUCUUAAACUACUAUAAAUAAAUAGUUUUAAUUAUAUUUUUGAGGGAGUAAUAAUAUAAUUAAUUCUAUUUUAUGUUAAUUCUUCUCUCUUCCAUUUAAAUUCUUAAAUUCUUUAUUUAUUUCUCUCUUAAUUCUCUAAUCAAACCCUUAAAAUUCUACCAUCUGGUAUUAGAGCACAUCCUUCCUGCCACAAUUUUUAUUUUUCCAUUCACUUUUGCCAAUAUCUCUUGGCUUUCGACUGGAGAUUUAAACCGGACCCACCCUCUAAACUUUUUCCAACAUCUAAACUUUUUUAACCGAACCUGAAUUUUCUUGAGAGUUUUUUUGAGGCAUCAUGAUUUUUAAGGAGCUUGAAGGCAAAGUUCAACAGUUGUCUCAACAGUUUCAUGACAAAGUUACAACCAUCGAUGAAAAGGUUACGACCUUCGGCAAGCAAAAUAACGAUCUGCAGAAACUCAUGAAACAUCUUUCAGCAAUUGAGCCAGUUGCGAAAAGGAAAACAACCAACUACUGAUCAAAGACAAGUUGAUAUAUUUACUGGAGGGACCUUUGCUCCUCAAAUGGUAAUUGCUGCCCAACCACCUAUUGAACCUGGCGAACGCAUUGGAAGUACUCUCAUGCAAGCUUGUAACAUAUGACUUGACUUUCCUAUUUUUCAUGGUGACAAUCCAACGGGAUGGAUUUUUCGAUAUGAGCAAUGUCGUCGCCUUACUGGAUUAUCAGAUGUUGACUUAUUGUCCUUAGCUAUUGGCCAUCUUGAUGGUGAUACUGUACCUUGCAACUAGGGAUGGCAAAAUAACCCGGACCCGGACGAACCCGGAUAAUUCGGGCCGGGUUGAACCCGUAUCGGAGAGUAAAAAAAGCCGGAUCCGAAAUGGGUUUUAAUAACCCGGAUGAAUCCGGGUCCGGGUUUGGGGUAACCCGUGUAUCCGGAACUCGAACCCGGAUUCAUUUUUUAUAUUAUUUUUAAUUAUAUUUAUUAGUAAAUAUAAAUACAAAUAUUAAAAAAAAACCUAAUUCUAUUUCACAAGUCAAAGGCGUCAAACACACAAAUCGCGAUUUACACAAACAAGACAAACCCUAGCUGUGCCGCCGCUGCCGCCUUCCGCCUUCCGCUGUCCCGCAAGCAAGUCAAACAACUCUCGGCUAGGUUCGCCACCGUCGCAAGGUCGGUUCGCUGUCGUCGCAAGGUUGGGUUCGCGGUUCGUCGCAGCUUGUUUGGUUCACCAGAAUCACCACCGUCGCAUGCUUGCAGCAGUGCAGUUCCUCAAUUCGUUUGAUUCACCGGCGUGAGUAGCUGUUAUACUCUGUUUUAUGUGAUUUGUGCUAUGUGAUUUGUGAUAUUGAUUUGUGUUGUGUUAUACUGUUGUGAACACCACUGAUUUAUGUGAUUUGUGCUAUGUGAUUUGUGAUAUUGAUUUGUGUUGUGUUAUACACUUAUAUUGCCGUGAACACCACUAAUUUAUGCUUGAAAUGUUGUUGAUUGUUGGUGUUAAUAGAUUCGAAAUUGUAUAUUUCAAAUGUUAGAAAGCUGUUACAGUUAAAAAUAAAUUGUUGUUGUUAAUGGAUUUGUUGCUGUUAAUAGAUUCAAAAUUGUAUAAUUCAAAUGUUAGAAAGCUGUUACAGUUAAAAAUAAAUUGUUGUUGUUAAUGGAUUUGUUGCUGUUAAUAGAUUCGAAAAUGUAUUUUUGAAAUGUUAGAACUUAGAACAUUGUUACAGACUUACAGUAAAAAAAAUAAAUAUAAAAUGGAAGAAAUUGGAGGAAUGAUUGGUUAGUUUAAUUUGUUUUGACAUAAUUCUUGUAGGGUGUUAAAUUCAUAAUGGAAAAUGAACAAAGGUAUGGAAAAUUUAUUUAUUACAUAAAAUAAAUUAAUUUGUUAUAGUAUCAAUUUAUUACUAACUAACUGUUUUGUUCUUAUUUUUAUGAUUUAUUCAUGUUUUUUAGAUGGAAUUCCAGAGGAAGCAAUACUUUCUGCAGAACAGCUUAUUGAUGAAAGUUUGAUGAGUGAGUUGUGAACAACGAUGAGUCAAGUGAAGAAGAAUAGAAAAUGAUGGAGAAAAGUUUAAACUUUGGAUUUGUGGUUUUUAAUUUGAACUUUGAAUUGUAGACUUGUGUAAUUGUGUUAUGGAUUUAUAUUUGUGGCUGUUUUAUUACUUGAAACAGCCGUUUGAAUUGUAGAGUUUGCAAACUAGCUGUUUGAAUUGUAGAGUUUGCAGAGAGUUGAUUAAUUGUGAUUUGUGAGCACUGGACUAUUAUGCCAUAAUUGUGAUUUGUUGUUUAAGUCUUAAUUAUUAAGUGCUGGGAUGGCCUUUGAAACAUUG
rnacentral:lncRNA from 1 species